GCCAGUUUGGCUCAGUGGAUAGAGCAUCAGCCUGUGGACUGAAAGGUGCCUGGUUCAAUUCCAGUCAAGGGCA
rnacentral:tRNA from 1 species